AGAGUUUGAUCCUGGCUCAGGACGAACGCUGGCGGCGUGCUUAAGACAUGCAAGUCGUGCGGACUCCUUCGGGGGUCAGCGGCGGACGGGUGAGUAACACGUGGAUAACCUGCCAUCAGCUCCGGGAUAACAGACCGAAAGGGCUGCUAAUACCGGAUCAGCUCACGGAGGCGCAUGCCUGUGGGAGAAAAGGCGCUGCAAGGCGCCGGGUGAUGAGGGGUCCGCGGCCCAUUAGCUAGUCGGGGGGGUAAAGGCCCACCAAGGCGACGAUGGGUAGCCGGCCUGAGAGGGCGAACGGCCACACUGGGACUGAGACACGGCCCAGACUCCUACGGGAGGCAGCAGUCGGGAAUUUUGCGCAAUGGCCGCAAGGCUGACGCAGCAACGCCGCGUGAGUGAAGAAGGCCUUCGGGUUGUAAAGCUCUGUUGCCCGUGACGAACGGCCACAUCAGGAAA
rnacentral:rRNA from 1 species